rnacentral:rRNA from 1 species
UUGUACGCAAUAUAAGGGCGUACGGUGGAUGCCUAGACACUAAAAGUCGAUGAAGGACGUCGCAGGGUGCGAUAAGCCUCGGUUAGGUCCCAAGCAACCUUUGACCCGGGGAUUUCCGAAUGGGGGAACCCACCUCUUUGUGAGGUACCUUAUACUGAAUUCAUAGGUAUAAGGGGUCGACCUGGCGAAGUGAAACAUCUCAGUAGCCAGAGGAAAAGAAAACAAAUUAUGCUUCUUUUCUACACCUUGAAAGUUUUAGCUUUUAAGGUGUAGUAAAAAAAGCUGUGAUUCCCUUAGUAGUGGCGAGCGAACGGGGAACAGCUCAAACCUUUAUCGUGUUGUCAUAUUUUAUUGGUCUUCGGACUUUCUAGGAUAUGACUUAAAGGACAGGCCGUUGCGAUUUAGGUGUUGUAGGGUAAAAACGUCGGUAACCUGUUUAGCCGGAUAUAUUAUUUUAUAUAUAAUUGAAAAUCUCUGGAAAGGGAUACCAAAGAAGGUGAUAGUCCUGUAGAUAAAAUAUAUAUGAUAAUGUGUUGUUUUUAUUCCUGAGUAGGGCGGAGCACGUGAAAUUCCGUCUGAAUCUGCCGCGACUAUGCGGUAAAGCUAAAUACUUUUAGUGAUCGAUAGUGAACAAGUACCGUGAGGGAAAGGUGAAAAGCAGCCCGGGAGGGCGAUGAAAUAGUAUCUGAAACCGUACGCUUACAAUGAGUUGGAGCCCGCUUUUGCGGGUGACAGCGUUCCUAUUGAAGAAUGAGCCUGUGAGUGUGUAGUUGUUGCAAGCUUAAGAGCCUAUGGUUCGAAGGCGUAGGGAAACCAAGUCUUAACCGGCGAUUUAGUAAUAAUUACACGACCCGAAACCGAGUGAGCAAUCCAUGACCAGGUUGAACCCCGACGAAAGUCGGGGGGAGGACCGAACCCACGCGCCGUGCAACACGCGGGGAUGAGUUGUGGAUAGCGGAGAAAUUCCUAUCGAACUCGGUAAUAGCUGGUUCUCCUCGAAAUAGCUUUAGGGCUAGCUGUAUGUGUUCCUGCUGGUGGUAGAGCACUGGAUGAGAGCGAGGUCCCUCGGGAUACUCCUUUCAAUCAAACUCCGAAUGCCAGUAGUCAAAACAUGCAAGUCAGACUGUGGGGGCUAAGCUCCAUGGUCAAAAGGGAAACAGCCCAGAUCGUCAACUAAGGUCCCUAAAUCACCACUAAGUGUAAAAGGCGGUGAAGAUUCUUAUACAACCAGGAGGUUGGCUUAGAAGCAGCCACCCUUUAAAGAAAGCGUAACAGCUCACUGGUCAAGAGUCUUUGCGCCGAAAAUGUACCGGGGCUAAGUGGUGUACCGAAGUUACGAAUUAUUGUGUCUCACUAACGUUCGACACUGAAUUACGAAUUAAGAAUUAUUAAUUUUGAUUCAAUUUUGAAUUAUUUAAUGAUUAAACAUUAGAAAUUCAAUCAAAAUUUAAAAUUUUAAAUUCAAAAUUUGAGUGGCGAGCGAUAGCGAGACACGAUAGUGGUAGAGGAGCAUUCCUAACUGCUGUGAAGUCGGAUCCGCGAGGACCGGUGGAGCGUUGGGAAGAGAGAAUGCAGGCACAAGUAGCAAAAACGAGGGUGAGAGUCCCUCGCGCCGAAAGUCCAAGGUUUCCAGGGCAACGUGAAUCGUCCCUGGGUUAGUCGAUCCUAAGGUGAGGCCGAAAGGCGUAGCCGAUGGAAGAGCAGGUUAAUAUUCCUGCACUUGGCAUAGUUUGUUAUGAUAUGCGUAUCUCAAAGGUGUGAGCGUUGUAAGGCUACACGUUUCGCAAGAUAGAGACCAAUCCUUCGGGGGCGGUCAAUUUACACUGGAGAGGUAUCUAGAAAAGUAUUAUAACGCUAGGCUAUGUCAAACCGUACCGAUAACCGACACAGGUGGACAGGUCGAGAAGACCAAGGCGUACGAGAGAAACAUGGUUCAGGAACUCGGCAAAACAGCGGCCGUAAUUUCGAGAUAAGGCCUUCCUCCUACGCCCUUCGUUUCACUUCGGGCUUCGGAGGACAAGUCCUUCUACUUUCAAAGAAAUGUAGAAUAAAAGGGACUUGUCCUCCGUAGCUCAAGCGGAGCGCAGAGCGUAGGAGGACGCAGCUAAAGACUCCAUGCGACUGUUUACCAAAAACACAGCUCCCUGCAAAAGCGCAAGCUGAAGUAUAGGGGGCGAUGCCUGGCCAGUGUCAGAACGUUAAGGGAGCGGGUUAUUUGUCCUUGUGGCAAAGAAGCUUGCGACCGAAGCGCUGAUGAACGCCGGCGGUAACUAUAACCGUCCUAAGGUAGCGAAAUUCCUUGUCGGGUGAGUUCCGACCCGCACGAAUGGCAUAACGGUGUGGAGACUGUCUUAACCAUGUACUCGGCGAAAAUACAAGAGUCGUGAAGAUGCGACUUACCCGCAGCUAGACGAAAAGACCCCGUGAAGCUUUACUACAACUUGACAUUGGUAUAUUGUUUCACAUGUUCAGCAUAGGUGGGAGCCUUCGGGCGCCAGUGAGAUACCACCCUUGUGUUGUGAUAUACCUAAUCCAAUGCCGUGAAUCCGGCAUGGGAGACAGUGUCUGGUGGGUAGUUUAACUGGGGCGGUUGCCUCCCAAAUUGUAACGGAGGCGUUUACAAAGGUCGGCUUAGCCCGGAUGGAAAUCGGGCUGGACGUGCAAACGCAAAAGCCGGCUUUACUGCAAGGGCUACCACCCGCGCAGUCACGAAAGUGGAAGUUAGUGAUCCGACCGUACGAAAUAGGACGGCGGAAGCUCAACGGAUAAAAGUUACUCCGGGGAUAACAGGCUGAUCACGCCCAAGCGUCCACAGCGACGGCGUGGUUUGGCACCUCGAUGUCGGCUCAUCGCAUCCUGGGGCUGGAGAAGGUCCCAAGGGUUAGGCUGUUCGCCUAUUAAAGCGGUACGCGAGCUGGGUUCAGAACGUCGUGAGACAGUUCGGUCUCCUAUCUGCUGUGGGCGUUGAACGUUGAAGGAACUCAUCCCUAGUACGAGAGGACCGGGAUGGACGAACCUCUGGUGUACCAGCUGUUCUGCCAAGGGCAUUGCUGGGUAGCUAAGUUCGGUGCGGAUAAGCGCUGAAAGCAUCUAAGCGCGAAGCCGUUCCUAAGAUUAACGUUCGUUAUUAGACUCGUUCGAGACGAGGACGUUGAUAGGCGCUAGGUGAAAGGUCCGCAAGGAUUUUAGCCGAGGCGUACUAAUAUGUCGAG